GGUGUGGCCAAGCGGUAAGGCAACGGGUUUUGGUCUCACUAUUCGGAGGUUCGAAUCCUUUCGUGACCU
rnacentral:tRNA from 1 species